UUGACCUCAAAUCAGGUAGGACUACCCGCUGAACUUAAGCAUAUCAAUAAGCGGAGGAAAAGAAACUAACAAGGAUUCCCCUAGUAACUGCGAGUGAAGCGGGAAAAGCUCAAAUUUAAAAUCUGGUAGUCUUCGGCUGCCCGAGUUGUAAUCUAGAGAAGCAUUAUCUGCGCUGGACCGUGUACAAGUGUCCUGGAAUGGACCAUCAUAGAGGGUGAGAAUCCCGUCUUUGACACGGACUCCCAGGGCUUUGUGAUGUGCUCUCAAAGAGUCGAGUUGUUUGGGAAUGCAGCUCUAAAUGGGUGGUAAAUUCCAUCUAAAGCUAAAUAUUGGCGAGAGACCGAUAGCGAACAAGUACCGUGAGGGAAAGAUGAAAAGAACUUUGGAAAGAGAGUUAAACAGUACGUGAAAUUGCUGAAAGGGAAACGCUUGAAGUCAGUCGCGUUGGCUGGGGAUCAACCUUGCUUUUU
rnacentral:rRNA from 2 species